rnacentral:lncRNA from 1 species
GCACACAGUCUUGAUUACUAUAGUUUCAUAAUAAGUCUUGAAAUAGAGUAAGUCCUCUAACUUCCUUCUUCUUUUCUAAAUUUGCUGUGGCUAUUCUGGGUCAUUUGCAUGUUCAUAUAAAUAUUAAAAUCAAUUUCUACAGAAAAGCCUUCUGGAAUUUUGAAUGGGCUCACACUGAAUCCAUAGAUCAAUUUGGGAUCAUUGACACUGGACAUCUCUCUCCAUUUAUUUAGGUCUUUAAUUCCUCUCAGCAAUGCUUUCUAGUUGUCAGCAUAGAGGUUUUGCAUGAUUCUAAAUAUUUUGGAGGCAGCUGUAAAUUUAAUUUUUUUAGAGUUUAUUUUCUCAUUGUUUGUUGCUCUCAUAGCAUCUUUUACUAUUCCUUCCUAUGUCCCACGUCUCAGUUUAUUAUAAUGUGUUCAUUAGCAUGAGGAUUUGCAUUAAGAUGGAUGUGAAGUCUACCUCCCCUUAUGAGACUGUCCACAAAGCAGGGAACACAGCUGCUUUGCUCACCAUUGCAUCCUCAGGGCCUGGCGUGCAGCCUGGAACAUGUUAGGCCCUUAGUAACAAUUUACUGGAUGACAGUGGAGGAUAGAUGGAUGAGAGUGGCUUCAGAAUGGAGACAAGUCCAUUUCAAAAGCUCAGAGGACACUUGUCCUCAGAUGCCUCAUUUAUCUUUUUCUGGGACCUGUUAAGACAUCCUGGACAUGUAAUCACUUGAGAGCUGUCUUGUGGUUUAAGGGACUUGCAGCAAAAGCCACAGGGCCUUUUUCCUCAUGGUCAGCACUGAUGAUCCAGGCUAUACACCUUUUUUUUUUUUUUUUUUUUUGAGACGGAGUCUUGCUCUGUCAUCCAGGCUGGAGCAUAGUGGCACGAUCUUGGCUCAUUGCAACCUCUGCCUCUUGGGUUUAAUUGAUUUUCCCGUCUCAGCCUCUUGAGUAGCUGGGAUUACAGGCGUCUGUCACCAUGCCCUGCUAAUUUUUGUAUUUUUAGUAGAGACGGGGUUUCACCAUGUUGGCCAGGCUGGUCUUGAACUCCUGACCUCAGGUGAACCGCCUGCCUCGGCCUCCCAAAAUGCUGGGAUUACAGGCGUCAGCCUCUGUGCCUGGACCCAUCUGUAUUUUUCAACCAUGAUAUUUCCAAUGCUUGGCACAGAUCCUGGCACAUCCUAGGGGGUGGAUAUAUAUUUGCUGAAUGAAUGAAUGAAUGAAACAAUUGCCAGCCUCCCAAAUGCUGGGAUUACAGGUGUGAGCCACUGCACCCGGCCUUAAGACUCCAUUUUUGAGCAGUGGGAAGUCACUUAGGGCCAUAAGAGGGGAAUGAUGUGAUGUGAUGUAUGAUUCUAGAAGAUCAAGCCUGCUACUGUGUGAAGAAUGCUCCCUACAAGGACAGAACUGGAAGCAGAGGGAUCCGCUAGGAGGGUGUUGCAGUUGCCAGGGGUUGAGGGGAUUGAGGAUGGCAUGGAUAAGGGAGAAUGUGCACCCGGGGCAGAGAGGAUCACUUAGGAUUUGAGAUAUGUAACUUUGUUUUAUUAUUAUUAUUUCUAAAUGUUUUUAUUAUUUUUAUUUUUGGUAGAGAUGGGGUCUUGUUAUGUUGCCCAGGCUGGUCUCAAACUCCUGGCCUCAAGCCAUACUCUCACCUUGGCUUCCCAAAGUGCUGGGAUUACAGGUGUGAACCACCACGUCUGGGCUGAUUAUUAUUAUUUUUAGAGGUGGGGGUCUCGGUCUGUCACUUCAGGCUGGAGUGCAGUGGUGUGAUCAUAUCUCACUCCAGCCUCGACCUCCUGGGCUCCAGCGGUCCUCCCACCUCGGCCUCCCAAGUAGCUGAGACUACGGGCUUGGCCACCACACUUGGCUAAUUUGCUAUUUUUUGUAGAGACAGGGUCUUGCUGUGUUUCUCAGGCUGGUCUCAAACACCUGGCCUCAAGCGAUUCUCCUGCUUUGGCCUCCCUAAGUGCUGGGAUUACAGGUGUGGGCCAUUGCACCCAGCGUGCAAUUUUAAAUAAAUGACAAUUAAUAAGGAAGUACAGGAUGCCAGAGAGAAAUGGAACUCUCCUAGGGAUGAAGAGGGAAGGUGAAUCUAGACCAGCACGUGCGGAUGGACUUUGAGACGUAAUGGCUUCUGUGCCAGUGCAGUUCACCUGAGUUCAUCUGCGUAUCACCCUUUUUGAGCCCUGCAGAGGCCUCACCAGAGGAGCUCACCCACUGUGAAGAUAACAGUUUAUGCCCACCCCCCUCCGUGCAUCUUCUCUUUUAGUUGUCUAUUACACAGCCUCCCCUGUCACUCCAGUCGUGGGGUCCUUCACUUCCACAGUCCCUACAGAACCCAUCCCCGGGCUGGUGCAUUGCUGAAGAAGAAAAUUAAAAGGAGCGUCUCAAGGCUAGCUUCUUGGGAGAACUCUGCAGACUCUGUCUCUGUGGCCUUGGUGGUGAGCCUCUGUGGUUGUUCCCACCCACUGCCGGUAGCCAUACCCCAACCUCUCUCUGCAGAGACCUCUCCUUCCUCCACUCUCCGUCCACCUGAGUCCUGUUUAUUAGACUUCACUCCUGGCCAAUCACACCAGCUGUGGUGGCCAAAUGAUGGUCCCCCCAAAAGAGACCCAUAUCCUAAUCUCUGGAACCACGGCCAAAAGGGACUUUGCAGUUGGGAUUAAGAAGCUUGAGAUGGGGAGGUCAUCUUGGACUAUCUGAGAUGGCCCUAAACGUAAUCACAAAAAGAAGGAGGCAGAACUGGGCGCAUUGGCUCACACCUGUGUUCCCAGCACCUUGGGAGGCCGAGGCAGGCAGAUCACUUGAGGCCAGGAGUUCGAGACCAGCCUGGCCAAUAUGGCAAAACCCCGUCUCAUCUCUAUUAAAAAUCCAAAAACUUAGCCAGGCAUGGUGGUGUGCAUCUGUAAUCCUGUAAUCCCAGCUACUCCAGAGGCUGAGGCAGGAGAAUCACUNNNNNNNNNNNNNNNNNNNNNNNNNNNNNNNNNNNNNNNNNNNNNNNNNNNNNNNNNNNNNNNNNNNNNNNNNNNNNNNNNNNNNAAAAAAAAAAGAAUCUUUAGAUGGGGAGAUAAUCUUGGACUAUCUGAGAUGGUCCUAAAUGUAAUCACAAAAAGAAAGAGGCAGAGGGAGAAAUCAGACAGAAGGGGAGAAGAUGCUGUGAUCACGGAGGACCGGAGUGAUGUGGCUGCAAGCCAGCGCCCACCAGAAGCUGGAAGAGGCAAAGAAUGGAUUUUCUCAAGAGCCUCCAGAGAAAUGGAAUCCUGCUGAACACCUGUGUUCCAUCCCAGCCGGAUCUGGCUGGAGUCACCCCGAAAAGCUGUGGCAAGGGAGUUUCUGCCGAGGAGUUCCCCAAACCAUCCCAAGAUGGGGCCAGAUGGGUUCCCAAAGCAAGAAGCACCAAAUGCCAGGGUGAUUAGUGCAAAGCAUUUCGGAGGUGAAUUUGCAGAGUGGGCUGCAGCAUCCUCAAGACGAACAAUGAGAGAAAAGGGAGGGGGCAAGGGAGGGGUUUGCAUGAGGGUUUAAGGAAUUUGGUCCAGGGCCAGGGCUGGUUUCUUUCAGUGUCUUGGGCAACAACCUAAACACCUUUAUCAGUGCCUGGGAAUGUUCAAGCCGUGGCUUGGAGAAUAAAUUUCUGUUAUGUUAAGCCGCCAAGUUUGUGGCAAUUCAUUACAACAGACAGAGGACAUAGCAGACAUAGCAGCCGACAUUUAUUGUAUGGUAUGACAUUGUGUAUCAAGUGCCAUGCAAAAAGCUUUGCAAAGAUGAACUCAUGUAAAUCUUAAAACAUCCUAGGAAGUUACACACUCAUCCCCUUUAACGGACGAGGAAGCUGAAGUAUUUAGAGAAAGAAGUGAU